rnacentral:rRNA from 1 species
GGCGUAAAGAGCUCGUAGGUGGUUUGUCGCGUUGUUCGUGAAAUCUCACGGCUUAACUGUGAGCGUGCGGGCGAUACGGGCAGACUUGAGUACUGCAGGGGAGACUGGAAUUCCUGGUGUAGCGGUGGAAUGCGCAGAUAUCAGGAGGAACACCGGUGGCGAAGGCGGGUCUCUGGGCAGUAACUGACGCUGAGGAGCGAAAGCGUGGGGAGCGAACAGGAUUAGAUACCCUGGUAGUCCACGCCGUAAACGGUGGGUACUAGGUGUGGGUUUCCUUCCUUGGGAUCCGUGCCGUAGCUAACGCAUUAAGUACCCCGCCUGGGGAGUACGGCCGCAAGGCUAAAACUCAAAGAAAUUGACGGGGGCCCGCACAAGCGGCGGAGCAUGUGGAUUAAUUCGAUGCAACGCGAAGAACCUUACCUGGGUUUGACAUGCACAGGACGCCGGCAGAGAUGUCGGUUCCCUUGUGGCCUGUGUGCAGGUGGUGCAUGGCUGUCGUCAGCUCGUGUCGUGAGAUGUUGGGUUAAGUCCCGCAACGAGCGCAACCCUUGUCUCAUGUUGCCAGCGGGUAAUGCCGGGGACUCGUGAGAGACUGCCGGGGUCAACUCGGAGGAAGGUGGGGAUGACGUCAAGUCAUCAUGCCCCUUAUGUCCAGGGCUUCACACAUGCUACAAUGGCCGGUACAAAGGGCUGCGAUGCCGCGAGGUUAAGCGUAUCCUUUUAAAGCCGGUCUCAGUUCGGAUCGGGGUCUGCAACUCGACCCCGUGAAGUCGGAGUCGCUAGUA